UACGAAGGGGGCUAGCGUUGUUCGGAAUUACUGGGCGUAAAGCGCACGUAGGCGGAUACUUAAGUCAGGGGGUGAAAUCCCGGGGCUCAACCCCCGGAACUGCCUUUGAUACUGGGUAUCUCGAGUCCGGAAGAGGUGAGUGGAAUUCCGAGUGUAGAGGUGAAAUUCGUAGAUAUUCGGAGGAACACCAGUGGCGAAGGCGGCUCACUGGUCCGGUACUGACGCUGAGGUGCGAAAGCGUGGGGAGCAAACAGG
rnacentral:rRNA from 1 species